rfam:Penicillium chrysogenum Wisconsin 54-1255 complete genome, contig Pc00c20
CUCCUCAAUCUGCUGCGGGCAGAUAUAGUGAACAUGGGUGUCGAUGCCACCAGCAGUGAUAAUUUUCCCCUCUGCAGCAAUGAUAUCCGUGUUGGAUCCAAUCACCAGAGCCGGGUUCACCUCAUCCAUCACAUCAGGAUUACCGGCUUUUCCGAUCCCCACAAUGACCCCGUCUUUCACUCCGAUAUCAGCUUUGAAGAUUCCACUCCAGUCAAUGACUAAUGCAUUGACCAAAACCAGGUCCGCACACUCGUCGUCUGCUCGUCCAGCAGCUUGUCCAAUUCCGUCGCGCAAAG